AUGAUACAAGGGUCAAUUGAACAUUGUCUCAAGCUUCACUUCCUGAAUUUGAGCCAUAAUCGCCUCAAUGGCAGCAUUCCAAUCGAACUAGGAAUGUUGGUAAACCUACAAGAAUUGUUGGAUCUAAGUGAUAAUUCAUUUCCUGGUGUCAUUCUGAGUCAGCUAGGUGGCUUGAGCAUGCUCGAAGUUUUGAAUCUUUCACACAAUGCAUUGAAAGGUAGCAUCCCACCAUCGUUUCAGCGCACGUUCAGCCUCCUAUCCAUUGAUGUGUCAUUCAACAAAUUGGAAGGGUCAGUGCCACAGAGUAGGUUGUUUGAAGAAGCUCCAAUCGAAUGGUUCAUGCAGAAUAAGUAA
rnacentral:rRNA from 1 species